AUUGGAUCAUUGAAGGCAAAAAUGUUAUACACACUUGACAGCUUGCCAAAUGUAAAUAAGUCAACACAGAUACGCAUGAGAUUUAACCACCUGAUCACCUUUUGGAAGAUGCUAGUGGCUUUAUAAAGGGGUGAGGAUCAGGAGGCAUUCAUACUGAAUCUAAUACAAGCGAGCCAUGGCAGUCUUUUAUGAUCUUCGGCUGAUGUCUCUGGUUGUGCUGAUGCUGGCGUCUCAGUUGGACGUUGCCAGCGCUGCUGUUCGAGUGUUUGGCUUACAUGCCACGGGCCUCACUGGUGAUCCUGGAAAUGACCCUGAUCCAUACGUCAAGGUCUGGUGUGGCUCACGUUUUGGAGGGAUGACAGAAUUUUACAGGGAUACUGCUAAUCCUUCAUGGUCUACAGAGUUCAACAUCCCCUACUGCACAGCAAAAGAAACCCUGAAGUUGCAGGUGUGGGAUAAAGACCUGAAUUUUGAUGAUCACUUGGGCACGUGUGUCAAACAGGUGCAAUAUGGGUCUUUCACUAGUUCUUGUCGUCUGAAGGGUGGAACACUUUUUUACUCAUAUAAGGUACAAUAAAUCUGUUCCAAACCAGCAUUGUGUAAAGCUGCUUUGAAACAAACCUCCACUGUAAGUCGCCUGAUAGUAAUAGUUGAACAGCAUGUUUUGCAUUGAUAUAUGUUCAUCAAAAUCAACUGCUGACAUACUUUUCUUCUUUAGUGAAAUGCUGUUCACUAUCAAAAAAUACUAAUAAAAGUCUUAAAUCAAGUUUGUCUCUGUUUUUCACUUCAUUACAUGGUUGGAAUAGAGUUUAUCAGGCUGUUCAGAGUAAAGAACUAUGGAAGCUUGUUUAUGCCAUGCACAGCAUAAAAAAUGACUUUUCUUGCAAUUGCUCAAUUACAUUAUAAAGUCUGAAUUGCGAGAUAUAAAGUCACAAUUGAGGAAAAAAAUUCACAAUUACCUUUUUUUUUUAUUCUCUGGCGCAAACCAGCUUUACAAUCACGUCUCUAUUCUCUAGUGUUUUUGUAAAUAUUAAAAUCUCUAAAACAACACACACACACACACACACACACACACACACACACACACACACACACACACAUGCAAAACAGAGGGUUAACACUACAGCUCUCAUGAGGCAAAACUCAUCAGUGAGUGACGACUUUAAUUUCGGUCUGUUCGUCCCAUAAAGAUGUCAUUUGCUUUAUAAGACUUUGAAUAUAGCAAAUGUGUCGUAUUGGAUCACAUUUCUGAUACUUUCAUUGUGAUUUUUCCCCGGCUUUUUGGAGCGUGACCGCGCACACAGAGUCCUCAUUCACUUUCAUUAUGUUAACACAAACAGUGUUGGGGAAAGUUACUUUUAAAAGUAAUGCAUUACAAUAUUGUGUUACUUCCUAAGAAAGUAACUAAUUGCGUAACUAACUUUUUAUGGAAAGUAAUCCGCUGCUUUACUUUUGUGUUACUUUUCCUCACCUGGGCUGGGCUUGCUUGUUUGUUUUUGGCAAAUGUAAAGGCCUUUUCACACCAAAAGUGAAAUGAAUAAGCUUCAGGCUGAUCACAAAUGUAAUGUUUAUUUAAAGUCAUUUUUGCUUAUUUAGUAUGGAUGAAUUGGAUCAUUGAAGGCAAAAAUGUUAUACACACUUGACAGCUUGCCAAAUGUAAAUAAGUCAACACAGAUACGCAUGAGAUUUAACCACCUGAUCACCUUUUGGAAGAUGCUAGUGGCUUUAUAAAGGGGUGAGGAUCAGGAGGCAUUCAUACUGAAUCUAAUACAAGCAAGCCAUGGCAGUCUUUUAUGAUCUUCGGCUGAUGUCUCUGGUUGUGCUGAUGCUGGCGUCUCAGUUGGACGUUGCCAGCGCUGCUGUUAGAGUGUUUGGCUUACAUGCCACGGGCCUCACUGGUGAUCCUGGAAAUGACCCUGAUCCAUACGUCAAGGUCUGGUGUGGCUCAACUUUUGGAGGGAUGACAGAAUUUUACAGGGAUACUGCUAAUCCUUCAUGGUCUGUAGAGUUCAACUUCCCCUCUUGCACAGCAAAAGAAACCCUGAAGUUGGAGGUGUGGGACAAAGACCUGAAUUUUGAUGAUCACUUGGGCACGUGUGUCAAACAGGUGCAAUAUGGGUCUUUCACUGGUUCUUGUCGUCUGAAGGGUGGAACACUUUUUUACUCAUAUAAGGUACAAUAAAUCUGUUCCAAACCA